rfam:Schistosoma haematobium scaffold119_22, whole genome shotgun sequence.
AUCCAUCUGAUGAGUCCUGAAUAGGACGAAAGGCGCAUCCUGCAU